CUGAAAAGCCUAUUCAACGCACAGACCCACGCAGGUUUGGACAGAGAAAGUCGUACAGCUCCCGGCAUUCCUCAGCCAUGCAUGUAGGGCUAUUUUCUGUCUAAACGGCAUAGGAUAGCGCCUGGGCUGUCCGCCUUGGCUCGUCCUCCUCGCGAACAAAGCAACCACGCCACUCCGGGCUACGCUGCUCCAGGGAAACGGAAUCUCAGAGCCGACCCCGCGACGUCCUUCCCUGCGCCGUUGGAAGAAGUUUGACCUCGCCGCCUCCCGUAGUUUCCUUGGCAACGGAGUGGAAGCUGCGCCCUGUCGGGGAGCUGCUGCGACUUGCCUGCUCCCUCCGCACCGGCGCAAAGGUGGGGGUUGUGCUCGUCCUCGUUUUUCCCCCUGAAGGACUCGCUGGAAAAUGAAAGGGAAAAAAGACUGCCAAGGAAAAGGAAGCUGCCAUUUCCAGGUGACCAUAUAAAGUGUCCCAGAAAGGCAUGCAACAAACAAAGAAAUGUGAAGGCAUAGGUUUGAAAAAUGAAGUGUCUGG
rnacentral:lncRNA from 1 species